AAGAGAAGCAAACGGAAUUCUGAUAAAUUAACUAGAAAAGAGAAGAUGAGAACACAUGAGCUAGCAAAGGCUUUUGAUAGUUUGAAAAAUGUUCUUCCAAUUCAUCCCAAGGAUACUUCAAGGGACCGUGAUAAGCUGAGCAGAAGAGAACUGUUAGAUCUAGCAGUUAAAUAUAUUAAAUUCCUUAAAUCUGUUCUGAUCAUGCAAGAACAUGGUGAAAUAUAAAUUUUAUAACAAAAAACUCGCCUUUCUCUGUAAUCAGAGCUGGGAACUUAUGUUCUGUGGAUAUCUAGAUUAAUGCUUGAUCUCGAUCUUUUGUUAAUCUUCAGAUUAAUUUAAUCUUAAUUCGAUACCCGGCCCUGCAUGGUAAUCUUGUUAGGAUUGAAGGGAGCUUUAUUCAGGGGAGGAAUACUAAAAUGAAAAUAUGGAAAUGUCUAGCUUUUUGCUAGAUCUUAAAUCAAAAGUGCCCACAAUGGAUAUCGAGAUCCUACAGAAAAGUUCCCAGCUCAGGUAGCUUCAUUAAAAAUUGUAAGUAAGAGUAGUUAAGUUCAGUUAAAAUACACCAAAGCAUAAGUGCACCAUCCUGACCGUAUUAUCUGUACUUUAUACUUAAAUAAAGUUAGUUGAAUAUAGACUCUGGU